GACGAACGCUGGCGGCGUGCUUAACACAUGCAAGUCGAACGGAAAGGCCCUGCUUUUGUGGGGUGCUCGAGUGGCGAACGGGUGAGUAACACGUGAGUAACCUGCCCUUGACUUUGGGAUAACUUCAGGAAACUGGGGCUAAUACCGGAUAGGAGCUCCUGCUACAUGGUGGGGGUUGGAAAGUUUCGGCGGUUGGGGAUGGACUCGCGGCUUAUCAGCUUGUUGGUGGGGUAGUGGCUUACCAAGGCUUUGACGGGUAGCCGGCCUGAGAGGGUGACCGGCCACAUUGGGACUGAGAUACGGCCCAGACGGCUACGGGAGGCAGCAGUGGGGAAUAUUGCACAAUGGGCGGAAGCCUGAUGCAGCAACGCCGCGUGCGGGAUGACGGCCUUCGGGUUGUAAACCGCUUUCGCCUGUGACGAAGCGUGAGUGACGGUAAUGGGUAAAGAAGCACCGGCUAACUACGUG
rnacentral:rRNA from 1 species